GCCUAAAACCAUUAAAAGUGGGUGGAAUGGAAACUAAGUUUGCUCUUAUUGUAGAAUUAGCAGAGCAUCUGUGUCUAUAGGUGGCACGGUUUUAAGUGACCCUGAUAGGUAUAGCGUUGGUGGAGGAGUGUUCAGCAGGACGCAGGGAGAGAUGCUCAUCAUUAUGGACAGGAGUGGUUUCUAUAGUGGGGUCACGCUGAGAAUGAAGUUCCUCGCUGAGCUGUGGCGGAGGGAUACAUUCUGAUUUUAUUGCUGGAGUAUUUUUGCAGUCUGUUGUUUCAGACACAAACAUUUUCAUAACAACCUGCUCCAACUCUUGUGUUUUGGUGUGUGCGCCUCAUCUCAGAGCCCAUGCUCCUACCUCUGCACUUGACAUAGAAUAUGGUUAGUGUCUGUGUUUACCUGCUGUCUUCUGAAAGAAACAAGUGAUGAGCAAAUGCAUUCCAGAGAUUUCCUUUGAGAGAUCCUGAAAGGAGCGAGUUGUGGCCACAGCUGUCAACAUGGACAUUAAUACACCGUUUGCAGCUCAGUAGAAGAGGAGCUACAAGAAAAUGUCUGAAGAACACGUUCAUGCCAUCACCAUC